rnacentral:tRNA from 1 species
CGGAAUGUAGCUCAGAAGGUAGAGCAGUAGACUUUUAAUCUAUUUGUCGCACGUUCAAGUCGUGUCAUUCCGA